rnacentral:tRNA from 1 species
GCGCCCGUAGCUCAAUUGGAUAGAGCGUCUGGCUACGAACCAGCAGGUUGCGCGUUCGAGUCGCGCCGGGCGCA